rnacentral:rRNA from 1 species
CUGUAAGCCGUUGAAGGUGGCCUGUGAGGGUUGCUGGAGGUAUCAGAAGUGCGAAUGCUGACAUAAGUAACGAUAAUGCGGGUGAAAAACCCGCACGCCGGAAGACCAAGGGUUCCUGUCCAACGUUAAUCGGGGCAGGGUGAGUCGACCCCUAAGGCGAGGCCGAAAGGCGUAGUCGAUGGGAAACAGGUUAAUAUUCCUGUACUUGGUGUUACUGCGAAGGGGGGACGGAGAAGGCUAUGUUGGCCGGGCGACGGUUGUCCCGGUUUAAGCAUGUAGGCGGAUGUUCCAGGUAAAUCCGGAACGUCACUAACGCUGAGGUGUGAUGACGAGGCACUACGGUGCUGAAGUGACAAAUGCCCUGCUUCCAGGAAAAGCCUCUAAGCAUCAGGUAACAUCAAAUCGUACCCCAAACCGACACAGGUGGUCAGGUAGAGAAUACCAAGGCGCUUGAGAGAACUCGGGUGAAGGAACUAGGCAAAAUGGUGCCGUAACUUCG